GAUGAACGCUGGCGGCGUGCUUAACACAUGCAAGUCGAACGAUGAAGCCCAGCUUGCUGGGUGGUUUAGUGGCGAACGGGUGAGUAACACGUGAGUAACUUGCCCUUAACUCUGGGAUAAGCCUGGGAAACUGGGUCUAAUACCGGAUAGGAGCGUCCACCGCAUGGUGGGUGUUGGAGAGAUUUAUCGGUUUUGGAUGAACUCGCGGCCUAUCCGCUUGUUGGUGAGGUAAUGGCUCACCAAGGCGACGACGGGUAGCCGGCCUGAGAGGGUGACCGGCCACACUGGGACUGAGACACGGCCCAGACUCCUACGUGAGGCAGCAGUGGGGAAUAUUGCACAAUGGGCGAAAGCCUGAUGCAGCGACGCCGCGUGAGGGAUGACGGCCUUCGGGUUGUAAACCUCUUUCAGUAGGGAAGAAGCGAAAGUGACGGUACCUGCAGAAGAAGCACCGGCUAACUACGUG
rnacentral:rRNA from 1 species